rnacentral:rRNA from 1 species
AACGAUGGAUGCUCGCUGUUGGAUAUUUUUAUUCAGUGGCUAAGUGAAAACGUUAAGCAUCCCACCUGGGGAGUACGCCGGCAACGGUGAAACUCAAAGGAAUUGACGGGGGCCCGCACAAGCGGAGGAACAUGUGGUUUAAUUCGAUGAUACGCGAGGAACCUUACCCGGGCUUGAAUUGCAGCUGAACGAUCCAGAGAUGGUGAGGCCCUUCGGGGCAGCUGUGAAGGUGCUGCAUGGCUGUCGUCAG